UGGGGGAUAUUGGUCAAUGGGGGAAACCCUGAACCAGCAACGCCGCGUGAAGGAAGAAGGCCUUCGGGUUGUAAACUUUUGUCUUCAGGGAAGAAAAAAUGACGGUACCUGAGGAGGAAGCCACGGCUAACUACGUGCCAGCAGCCGCGGUAAUACGUAGGUGGCGAGCGUUGUCCGGAAUUACUGGGUGUAAAGGGUGCGUAGGCGGGUAAUAAAGUCAGAUGUGAAAUGCCGGGGCUCAACUCCGGAGGUGCAUUUGAAACUUAUUAUCUUGAGUGAAGUAGAGGCAAGUGGAAUUCCCAGUGUAGCGGUGAAAUGCGUAGAUAUUGGGAGGAACACCAGUGGCGAAGGCGACUUGCUGGGCUUUAACUGACGCUGAUGCACGAAAGCAUGGGGAGCAAACAGG
rnacentral:rRNA from 2 species